rnacentral:rRNA from 1 species
UACGGAGGGUGCGAGCGUUGUCCGGAAUCACUGGGCGUAAAGGGCGCGUAGGUGGCGCGGUCAGUCAACGGUGAAAGUUCGGGGCUCAACCCUGAAUCGGCCGUCGAUACUCCCGAGCUCGAGCACUGUAGAGGCAGAUGGAAUUCCGGGUGUAGCGGUGGAAUGCGUAGAGAUCCGGAAGAACACCGGUGGCGAAGGCGGUCUGCUGGGCAGUAGCUGACACUGAGGCGCGACAGCGUGGGGAGCAAACAGG